rnacentral:rRNA from 1 species
UACGGAGGGUGCGAGCGUUGUUCGGAAUCACUGGGCGUAAAGCGCACGUAGGCGGAUGUUUAAGUCAGAGGUGAAAGCCUGGAGCUCAACUCCAGAACUGCCUUUGAUACUGGGCAUCUUGAGUCCGGAAGAGGUAAGUGGAACUGCGAGUGUAGAGGUGAAAUUCGUAGAUAUUCGCAAGAACACCAGUGGCGAAGGCGGCUUACUGGUCCGGUACUGACGCUGAGGUGCGAAAGCGUGGGGAGCAAACAGG